rnacentral:rRNA from 1 species
UACAGAGGGUGCGAGCGUUAAUCGGAAUUACUGGGCGUAAAGGGUGCGUAGGUGGUUAGGUAAGUUAAGUGUGAAAUCCCCGGGCUUAACCUGGGAACUGCGCUUAAUACUGCAAGACUAGAGUACUGUAGAGGAAGGUGGAAUUUCCAGUGUAGCGGUGAAAUGCGUAGAUAUUGGAAGGAACAUCAGUGGCGAAGGCGACUUUCUGGACAGAUACUGACACUGAGGCACGAAAGCAUGGGGAGCAAACAGG